rnacentral:rRNA from 1 species
CCUACGGGUGGCUGCAGUGAGGAAUAUUGGUCAAUUGGCGCAAGCCUGAACCAGCCAAGUCGCGUGAGGGAUGACGGUCCUAUGGAUUGUAAACCUCUUUUGUCGGGGAGUAAGGCGCGCCACGUGUGGCGGGAAGUAUAGUACCCGUAGAAAAAGCAUCGGCUAACUCCGUGCCAGCAGCCGCGGUAAUACGGAGGAUGCGAGCGUUAUCCGGAUUUAUUGGGUUUAAAGGGUGCGUAGGCGGAAGGUUAAGUCAGCGGUCAAAUGUCGGUGCUCAACACCGGCCUGCCGUGUAAACUGGUCGUCUUGCGUGAGCGAGAAGUAUGCGGAAUGCGUGGUGUAGCGGUGAAAUGCAUAGAUAUCACGCAGAACUCCGAUUGCGAAGGCAGCAUACCGGCGCGCAACUGACGCUGAGGCACGAAAGCGUGGGGAUCGAACAGGAUUAGAUACCCGAGUAGUC